AAGGGCUUACCAUUGAACAUGCUC
rnacentral:siRNA from 1 species